rnacentral:misc_RNA from 1 species
CACAACACGGUCAUACAACAUUCCCAAGAGACUAGACAAGGAGGACAAAAAUAAUUGCCAAGAAAACAAUAAACCGUCAUAUUCAUUAUUCACAAAUGCAUCAUAUGGAGGAUCAUGAACAAAUUGGUAAAGAUCUUAGAAAAUAUUAAAACUAAUCAGUUUGUUGUCUUCCCUUUCUUUUUCAGGAAAAAAGAAAGUAACUUCUAACCUUUUGAACCCAAUCCUCGUGAUUUUGGGAGCCUAACAGCAACCAAAGGGCUGACAAUGCCUUGAGAAUUUUUGCCCAAACCUGUGCCUUCGACAAAGCCCAUCCUUGCCAUCAUCUUUGAGCCAAAACCUUUGGUAUGCUUUUCAAAAGCUCCCAAGCUUUUAUGUUUAGCAUGAUUUUCAUAUCUUCCAGUGCUUUGAGGUUUAUUCUCGAAAGAGUCAUCAAUAGUGUUAGGGAAGUUGGCACCCAAACCAAGUGAUUUAGGCCUUUGGAUCACUUCGAUGGGCUCUGCCAUACCUUGACCAGCUUUUCCCAGACCUCCACCUUCUACAAAUCCCAUUUUUGCCAUCAUCUUGGAUCCAAAACCCUUAGUGUGGACCUCAAAUGCACCAACUUUUGCUGAGCUGAUUGUAACCUUAUUUUCAGAAGUUUCAGUCUCUUUAGAGUCCAAUGUCACGUAAUCAACUUUUUCAGACAUUAUGCCACUUGAUACAAAUGACAAUGGUUGAUUAGCAUAUGAACACCUUUUCCCUCCCUGUCUCUUGGAUGCACUGCCAUUCUGGCCGUUGGCCAAGUUCUUUGAUGAUUUGCUCCAAGCUUUAACAUCCAGUGGCUUAUUCAUCCUAUUUCUGUGUGCGGUUGCUGAUUUUGCUCUUGAGCAUUCAUUAACAGUGAAAUCAGCAUCCUCAUUUCCAGCUCCUAUCAGCUUUUCUAGACGGAGUUUAUCACUUGGUGAUGGCAUGCUUGUGUGCGGAGUUCUUGUCACUGUUACAAAUCUGACAGAACAGAAUGCGAGCUAGUUAAGCAUCAACAUUAGCAAAAAUAUCAUGAGUUGUUUACUCACACAAGCAUACACAAAUAGAUGUGCAUAUCAAACUAUAUACAACUGAACCUACCUUUUCUUACCUGAACCUUGGCAGCCACUGCGUAAACUGUAAAUAGCUGCCAUUCGUUUUACCUGGGAACAAUCUCGGGAGUGCAUAGGUUGAAAAGCAAACAUGUCCACCUGUUCCAAAACAAUCUGUUCCAGUUUCAUAUUUAUUUUCUCAAGGUCAACUCCCCUUUGCAGCAUUCUUUCACGACGUUUGGCAGCAAUCAUCUCCUUUCGGUGUUUCUUUUUCGCACCUGGAAAAUUUCUGGAAUUUUUACUGUUUUGUGCCUUUAAAGGCCAAGACUGAGGCAACCGAAAAGCAAGCUUCUUUUUGGCAGAAACAGUUCUUGGAUCCUUUACGAGCAUAAGGUCAUCCAAAGCUGAUGGCCAAGAAUCUCUAGCGCCAACAUUAUACUUUUUUCUUGAUCGAGACUUCUUCAUACCAUAUUCCCUAGAUUCAUCCUGGAGUGCAAUGCCACCCAACUUCUCUAGAGUCUCAUCAAAGGAACCACUAGUUGAAGUGCUAUCCUCGUCUGAGUCAUCCAAAUGGUCUUCUACCAACCAUUUGGCAUCUAAAAUGUUGUCACUCCCACCAAUUCCCUCUAAGUAGUCUUCCGCAACCUCUUCAUCAAUGUUUGAAUCACUAUCAGACAUAUUCUCAGAGAUAUCACUAUCAGACAGUUCAGUUUGUUCCCCUAGCUCAGUAGAUUCAGAAACUUCAUCAUCUUGUGACUCUCCAUCACUUUGCCCAUCAGAUAUAUCUUGGGUGAAUAAUUUCAUGCCUCCAAUUGACAAACAUCCUGAAUUUUUCUUUGGAGAGAAUCCCUCAUUUGACACUUCUUCAAUUAUUUGUUCACCUACCCCACAAUUAAUAGACUCAUCAGCAUCCCUUUCUUUCUCAGAGGAUGGAGAACCAAAACAUGAUCCUUCUGGCCUUUCUUCUUCCAUUUGCUUUGAUGAUGAACCAAUAGCACCUGGGGUUGUGUCAGAUUCAUCAGAGAACCCCAAUCCUCUAUGCAAGCUAUGACCAAGCACAAAACUUGAAUUGUAAUCACAAGCGAAAUCAAUAUUAUGGGCCUUCAAAGGUGGCGUUUCUUCUAAGUAAGCAACUAUCUGGGUCUCCUUGAAAUCAACCAAAGCAAUGGGUUGUGAUGCAUCUAAAUCAUUAUCUCUGUCAU